rnacentral:rRNA from 1 species
CCCUUAGAUGUUCUGGGCCGCACGCGUGCUACACUGAGUGGAUCAGCGGGUCAGGUUACGCGAGAGCGUUUCCUAAUCUUCAAAUCCGCUCGUGAUGGGGAUUGACGGUUGUAAUUUUCCGUCAUGAACGAGGAAUACCUUGUAAGCGCGGGUCAUCAUCCCGCGCUGAAUACGUCCCUGCCCUUUGUACACACCGCCCGUCGCUCCUACCGAUUGAGUGGUCCGGUGAGGCUUUGGGAUCUAAGCGAAAAGAGCGUUUCGCUCCUUUUGCUGGGAGAACUCAGUCGAACCUUAUCAUUUAGAGGAAGGAGAAGUCGUAACA